rnacentral:rRNA from 1 species
CCUACGGGUGGCAGCAGUGAGGAAUAUUGGUCAAUGGACGAGAGUCUGAACCAGCCAAGUAGCGUGAAGGAUGACGGUGCUAUGGGUUGUAAACUUCUUUUAUCAAGGAAUAAAACGAGGCUCGAGUGCCUGUUUGCAUGUACUUUAUGAAUAAGCAUCGGCUAACUCCGUGCCAGCAGCCGCGGUAAUACGGAGGAUCCGAGCGUUAUCCGGAUUUAUUGGGUUUAAAGGGAGCGUAGAUGGGUUGUUAAAUCAGUUGUGAAAGUUUGCGGCUCAACCGUAAAAUAGCAGUUGAUACUGGCAGUCUUGAGAACAGUAGAGGUAAGCGGAAUGCGUGGUGUAGCGGUGAAAUGCUUAGAUAUCGCGAAGAACCCCGAUUGCGAAGGCAGCAUACUAAACUGGGACUGACAUUGAGGCACGAAAGUGUGGGUAUCGAACAGGAUUAGAUACCCGAGUAGUC